rnacentral:rRNA from 1 species
GUAGUUUAGUAUCCUGGUCUCAGAAUUGAACUGCUGGCUGGCUAUGGCCUAACACAUGCAAUGUCUGAGACGGCUAACAGAGAGUAGUCUUGUCUACGUCUGCUGCACGAUGUCGGCGGACGUGGCUGCAGAUAAUGCUUGGCGCAAUGUACCUUAUGGUGGGGGACAACAUGUUGGAAAUCGACUGCUAUACCGCAUAAUGUCUUCGGACCAAUGGCGGGGGACCUUCGGGCCUCGCGCCAUAAGAUCAGUCCCAACGUGGGAUUAGCUAGUUGGUGAGGUAAUGGCUCACCAAGGCGACGAUCCCUAGCUGGUUUGACGAGGAUGAUCAGCCACACUGGGACUGAGACACGGCCCAGACUCCUACGGGAGGCAGCAGUGGGGAAUAUUGCACAAUGGGCGCAGCCUGAUGCAGCCAUGCCGGUGUGUGAAGAAGGCCUUCGGGUUGUACAGCACUUUCAGUAAGGAGGAAAGGUUGGAUGUUAAUAGCAUUCAGCUGUGACGUUACUUACAGAAGAAGCACCGGCUAAACUCCGUUGCCCAGCGAGCCGCGGGUAAUUACGGAGGGUUGCGAGCGUUAAUUCGGGAAUUAACUGGGCGUCAAUUGAAAAGCCAGGGGGUUUGGUAAAGCGAGAUGUGGAAAGCCCCCGGGGUCACACCUGGGGAACUUGGAUUUCGAACUGGGAGACUAAGAUGUUGUGACUAAAGGGGGGUAGAAUUUUCCAGGUGUAGCGCGAGUAAAAUUGCGGUAGAGAUUUGAG